rnacentral:rRNA from 1 species
UGGGGAAUAUUGCACAAUGGGCGCAAGCCUGAUCCAGCCAUACCGCGUGGGUGAAGAAGGCCUUCGGGUUGUAAAGCCCUUUUGUUGGGAAAGAAAUCCAGCUGGUUAAUACCCGGUUGGGAUGACGGUACCCAAAGAAUAAGCACCGGCUAACUUCGUGCCAGCAGCCGCGGUAAUACGAAGGGUGCAAGCGUUACUCGGAAUUACUGGGCGUAAAGCGUGCGUAGGUGGUCGUUUAAGUCUGUUGUGAAAGCCCUGGGCUCAACCUGGGAACUGCAGUGGAAACUGGACGACUAGAGUGUGGUAGAGGGUAGCGGAAUUCCUGGUGUAGCAGUGAAAUGCGUAGAGAUCAGGAGGAACAUCCAUGGCGAAGGCAGCUACCUGGACCAACACUGACACUGAGGCACGAAAGCGUGGGGAGCAAACAGGAUUAGAUACCCUGGUAGUCCACGCCCUAAACGAUGCGAACUGGAUGUUGGGUGCAAUUUUGGCACGCAGUAUCGAAGCUAACGCGUUAAGUUCGCCGCCUGGGGAGUACGGUCGCAAGACUGAAACUUAAA